GAUGAACGCUGGCGGCGUGCCUAAUACAUGCAAGUCGAGCGAAUGGAUUAAGAGCUUGCUCUUAUGAAGUUAGCGGCGGAUGGGUGAGUAACACGUGGGUAACCUGCCCAUAAGACUGGGAUAACUCCGGGAAACCGGGGCUAAUACCGGAUAACAUUUUGAACCGCAUGGUUCGAAAUUGAAAGGCGGCUUCGGCUGUCACUUAUGGAUGGACCCGCGUCGCAUUAACUAGUUGGUGAGGUAACGGCUCACCAAGGCAACGAUGCGUAGCCGACCUGAGAGGGUGAUCGGCCACACUGGGACUGAGACACGGCCCAGACUCCUACGGGAGGCAGCAGUAGGGAAUCUUCCGCAAUGGACGAAAGUCUGACGGAGCAACGCCGCGUGAGUGAGGAAGGCUUUCGGGUCGUAAAACUCUGUUGUUAGGGAAGAACAAGUGCUAGUUGAAUAAGCUGGCACCUUGACGGUACCUAACCAGAAAGCCACGGCUAACUACGUGCCAGCCGCCGCCGUAA
rnacentral:rRNA from 1 species